GUUAGGUUUAAGAUUUUUUAGAGGUUUUUUAGGUUUAGAGUUUUUAAAGUUAUUUUUGUUGUUUUUUAGGGUUUAGGUUUUUCUUAGUGUUUUUUGGGUUUAGGGUUUGGGGUUUUCUUAGAGUUUGGGUUUUUGGCUUACGAUUUAGGGUUUCUUAUGGUAAAGGAUUUAGGAUUUACAGUUUGGGAUUUAGGGUUCCUUAGGUUUAGGAGUUUUAAUGUUUUUUUUUAUGGUUUUGGUUUUCUUACUGAUUUUUAGGGUUUAGAUUUUCUUAGUGAUUUUUAGGGGUUAAGGUUUUUUAAAAAAUGAUUUUAGGUUAAAUUAUGGUGUAGGGCUUACUGUUUUUUUAGGCUUAAGGUUUUUUGGGGGUUUAAAAGGGUUUUUUUUUGUUAAAGAAUAUAAGUUUAGAGUUUUUAACGGUUUUUAAGGUUUCAUAGGGUUUAGGGUAUUAGGGUUUCUUAGGUAUAAGGUUUCUUAGGGUUUAGGGUUUAGGAUCUUAGGUUUUAGGGUAUUAGGGUUUAUAAGGGUUUAAGGUUUAGAGUUUCUUAGGGUUUAGUGUUUCUUAGAGUAUGCUAGGGUUUUCUGGUUUAGAGUUUAGGGCUCAGGGUUUUAGGUUUAAAGAUUAUUUUUUUUGAGUUUUUUAAGGGUUUAUGCUUCUGAUUUCUUAAAGAUUUUUAGGUUUAGAGUUUUAAAAGGUUUUUAGGGGGUUUUAAGAGUUUCUUUAUGUUUAGGGUUAAGGCCAAAGGUCUAGUGUUUAGGCCCUAAGGUAUAGGGUUUAAGGUUUAGGGUUUCGGGUUUUAGGUUAAGAGUUUCUUUUAUUGUUUUUGGUUUUUGUAGGUUUAUUAUUUUUAUGAUUAGGGUUUUUAAAUGUUUUAGGGUUUUUUAAGAAUUUGGAUUUCUUAAGAUUUAAGGUUUACGUAGGAUUUAGGGCAUAGGAUUUUUUUUAAGGCUUAGGGUUUUAAAGGGAUUUAUUUUUUUCCCCAACUAUUAUAGUUUUAGGGGUUUUAAUGGAUUUUAGGGUUUAGGAUUUCUUAGUGUUUCAUAUGGUUUGAGGUUUAGGGUUUAGCCCUAUGGUUUAGAGUUAGGGAUUUAGAGUUUCUUAGGGUGUAGGAUUUAGCAUUUUGGAUUUCUUAGGGUUUGGUUUUUUUAAGGGUUUUUAGGAUUUAGGGUUGAAGGUCUAAAUUUUUUAUUUAAGGUAUAGGGUUUAAGGUUUAGGGCUUAAGUUUUAGUAGAAUUUUUAGGUUUAGGAUUUUAAAGGGUGUUUAGGAGAUUUAUGGUUUUUUUACAAUUAAGGGGUACUUAGAGCUUAGGGUUUUUAUAAGGUUUAGGGUUUUUAAAAGUUUAGGGUUUAGGGGUUUUAAAUGUUUUUUAGGGUUUUUUAUUUCUUAAGGUAGACUCUUAGUGUUUAGCCCUAAGGUUUAGGGUUUCUUUGGGAAUAGAGUUGAGCAUUUAGGGUUUCUUAGGAUUUAGGGUUGAAGGUCUAAAUUUUUUAUUUAAGGGUUUUUAAGGUUUAAGGUUUAGGGCUUAAGUUUUAGUAGAAUUUUUUAGGUUUAGAGUUUUUUUUUGAUUUAGGAUAUUAAAAGGGCUUUUCAAGAUUUUUAUAAUUUCCUACGGCUUAGGGGUUCUUAGGGAUUAGGAUUUCUUUGAGUUUAGGGCUUAGGAUUUUAGAUUUUAGGGGUUUUUUAGGGGUUAGGGGUUUUAAGGGUUUUUUUAGGUUUAGUAUUUUUAAAGGUAUUUUUAGGGUUUAAGAUUUUUUAGGGUUUAGGGUUUGUUGGUGAUUCAUAAGUCUUGGGGUUUAGGGGUUCCCUAAGGCUGAGGGUUUAGUGUUUCUUAGGGUUUAGGGUUUAUGAUUAAGGGUUUCUUAGGGGUUUCAAAUUUCUUAUGUUUAGGCUUCUAAAGGUUUUUUAAGGUGUUGAUCUAAUAUGCUUAUGAUAUGCCAAAUCAAGGUUAUCUUGGGGUUACUCAUGAUCCUAGGUCCCGCGUAACGUUGCGGGAGUAACCUCUGGGAGUGACAAAAACAAUGUCUGAAUAAAAACGUUUAACUUACUAGAGAUGCUGGCACAUGCCCCCAACUAACUAUAGCAAAACUGAAAAUAAAAUGAAAGACCGAAUAUAAAACAUGUCAAUCGUCCUCGAAGAACGAGGACUCAUCACUGAUAUUGCUGAAUUAGGAUCGGGAACUGAUAUCCGCAUGAUCCGAAUGCCGAGGACCUGUAUCUACAUCCCGAGAAGAUGUAGCGUAAAGUAUGUGUCAGUACUUGAUUGGUACUGAGCAUGUAUGAUAGGAUAAAGCUGAACAAAUAUAUAUAACUGAAUAGAGCAUAUUGAACAAUGGUAUAAUCUGAACAUGAUGAAUAAGAGUUUAGGUAUUUGGGUAAAGGUUUUUAAGUUAGGGUUUAGAGCUUAAGUUUUUCUUGAAUUUUUUUAGGUUAAGAGUUUUUUUUCGACAUAGGAAUUUUAAGGAUUUUUUUAGGAUCAUUAAUGUUUUUACAGUUUAGGAGUUCUAAGGGCUUAGGACUUAGGGUUUUUAGAUUAUGGAAUUUUUUUAGGGUUUGUACGGUUUGUUUUCGGGAUUUUUAGUUUUAGCGUUUUAAAGGUUUUUAGUGUUUUGUUUUUCUUAGGAUUUAGGGCUUCUUAGAGUUUCAUAAGGAUUAGGCUUGGGGGUUUAUCCCUAAGGUUUAGGGUUUAGGUUUCUUAGUGUUUGAGUGUAACAUUUAAGGUCUCCUAAGUUUUUUUUUUGGGUCUUUUAGGAUUUAGGGUUUAGUGUUUUAGGUUUUGUGUUUUUUCUAGGGGUUUUAGGUUUGUUAGGUUUAAGAUUUUUUAGAGGUUUUUUAGGUUUAGAGUUUUAAAAAUUAUUUUUGUUGUUUUUUAGGGUUUAGGUUUUUCUUAGUGUUUUUUUGGGUUUAGGGUUUGGGGUUUUCUUAGAGUUUGGGUUUUUGGCUUACGAUUUAGGGUUUCUUAGGGUAAAGGAUUAAGGAUUUAAAGUUUGGGAUAUAGGGUUCCUUAGGUUUAGGGGUUUUAAAGUUUUUUUUUAAGGUUUUGG
rnacentral:lncRNA from 1 species